GUGAGAUUCCUAGCUACUGCAGGCAAAAGAAAGGCGGAUAAUUAUUACUUUCAGAAGCGAGAAGGAUGAAGCCUGAGCAAAACCAGCGUUCUAUCAAACUGCUAUCUUUAUUGGUUGUUUGAAAUUCCACUCUACUGUUGAGUUUUCCCCAUUUCAACAGCAAAGACUCCAUGAAGCCAUGUGGCAUGCUGAAUUAACUGUGAGGUAAGGAUAUAUAUGUGUGGGAUUAGUGGAGUUUGUUCUGCUUCUAUUGCAGCUUAAUUAAAGGAGUAGGCAAAGGCAAAG
rnacentral:lncRNA from 1 species